rnacentral:rRNA from 1 species
UGCGCAGGCGGGCCUUUAAGUCAGUGGUGAAAUCUUGCCGCUUAACGGUAAAAUUGCCAUUGAAACUGAAGGUCUUGAAUAUGGUUGAGGUAGGCGGAAUGUGUUGUGUAGCGGUGAAAUGCAUAGAUAUGACACAGAACGCCGAUUGCGAAGGCAGCUUACUAAGCUAUUAUUGACGCUGAGGCACGAAAGCGUGGGGAGCGAACAGGAUUAGAUACCCUGGUAGUCC